rnacentral:rRNA from 1 species
GCGAACCGGGAGAACUGAAACAUCUCAGUACCCCGAGGAAAAGAAAUCAACCGAGAUUCCCCUAGUAGCGGCGAGCGAACGGGGAACAGCCCAGAGUCUUAAUCAAUGGCAGCAUCAGGAGAACGGUCUGGAAAGUCCGGCAGUAAAGGGUGAUAGCCCCGUAUCCGAAGAUGCUGUUAUUGUGAACUCGACGAGUAGGGCGGGGACACGUGUUAUCCUGUCUGAAUAUGGGGGGACCAUCCUCCAAGGCUAAAUACUCCUGAUUGACCGAUAGUGAACCAGUACCGUGAGGGAAAGGCGA